GCGUCGGUGGUGUAAUGGCGUAGAGCAUACCCGCCCGGUCAGAGGGAGGUGCGGGUUCGAGUCCCGCCUGAUCGCA
rnacentral:tRNA from 1 species